GAGUCUGAACCAGCCAAGUAGCGUGAAGGAUGACUGCCCUAUGGGUUGUAAACUUCUUUUAUAUGGGAAUAAAGUGAUCCACGUGUGGAUUUUUGUAUGUACCAUAUGAAUAAGGAUCGGCUAACUCCGUGCCAGCAGCCGCGGUAAUACGGAGGAUCCGAGCGUUAUCCGGAUUUAUUGGGUUUAAAGGGAGCGUAGGUGGACAGUUAAGUCAGUUGUGAAAGUUUGCGGCUCAACCGUAAAAUUGCAGUUGAUACUGGCUGUCUUGAGUACAGUAGAGGUGGGCGGAAUUCGUGGUGUAGCGGUGAAAUGCUUAGAUAUCACGAAGAACUCCGAUUGCGAAGGCAGCUCACUGGACUGCAACUGACACUGAUGCUCGAAAGUGUGGGUAUCAAACAGGAUUAGAUACCCUGGUAGUCCACACAGUAAACGAUGAAUACUCGCUGUUUGCGAUAUACAGUAAGCGGCCAAGCGAAAGCAUUAAGUAUUCCACCUGGGGAGUACGCCGGCAACGGUGAAACUCAAAGGAAUUGACGGGGGCCCGCACAAGCGGAGGAACAUGUGGUUUAAUUCGAUGAUACGCGAGGAACCUUACCCGGGCUUAAAUUGCAUUUGAAUAUAUUGGAAACAGUAUAGUCGUAAGACAAAUGUGAAGGUGCUGCAUGGUUGUCGUCAGCUCGUGCCGUGAGGUGUCGGCUUAAGUGCCAUAACGAGCGCAACCCUUAUCUUCAGUUACUAACAGGUUAUGCUGAGGACUCUGGAGAGACUGCCGUCGUAAGAUGUGAGGAAGGUGGGGAUGACGUCAAAUCAGCACGGCCCUUACGUCCGGGGCUACACACGUGUUACAAUGGGGGGUACAGAAGGCCGCUACCUGGUGACAGGAUGCUAAUCCCAAAAGCCUCUCUCAGUUCGGAUCGAAGUCUGCAACCCGACUUCGUGAAGCUGGAUUCGCUAGUAAUCGCGCAUCAGCCAUGGCGCGGUGAAUACGUUCCCGGGCCUUGUACACACCGCCCGUCAAGCCAUGAAAGCCGGGGGUACCUGAAGUACGUAACCGCAAGGAGCGUCCUAGGGUAAAACUGGUAAUUGGGGCUAAGUCGUAACAAGGUAGCCGUACCGGAAGGUGCGGCUGGAACACCU
rnacentral:rRNA from 1 species